rnacentral:rRNA from 1 species
UACGUAGGGUGCUAGCGUUGUUCGGAAUCAUUGGGCGUAAAGCGCGUGUAGGCGGUUUGGUAAGUCGAUUGUGAAAUCCCUGGGCUUAACCGAGGAAGUGCAUUCGAAACUACCUAGCUUGAAGACGGAAGAGGAAGGUGGAAUUCCUAGUGUAGAGGUGAAAUUCGUAGAUAUUAGGAGGAAUACCGGUGGCGAAGGCGGCCUUCUGGACCGUUCUUGACGCUGAGACGCGAAAGCGUGGGGAGCAAACAGG